UAAUCAACAACUAUAAUAAAUAAAUGGAUUACAAGAAUUCAACAAGAGAACACAAGGAAGGCAAAAGUCCAACCAAUAAUAUGAAUCUAUUACGAAAUAUAUAGACUGAAAUUCGAAAUUAGGUAGCUAAUUACAGCAAUAAAAGGUCAAAAAUCAGCUAAACCAACAAUUCCUAUCCCCACAUAAAUAAUGCAAUUGACAAACAUAUCCAAAACUCCAAUAAAAUCUUCCAAUUCAGUAUCCUGUGGGGAAC
rnacentral:lncRNA from 1 species